GCCCGCGGUGGACCAGCUGCGUAACGGUUCACACACUGAUGGCGCCUGGAGGUUUGGCGAAAUACUGACAGGAUGCGACGUCAACGGGAGCGCAGGGCCAAGAUACCCUUUAUAUCAAACCGUCUAUCCUGGAGCAGAAAAAUCCUGUCUUCAUUGCUAUAGCUACAGAUUCAGAAAUGAGCAUGUAACAAAUUCAGGCCAAAGAGAGGCAAUGGAAAUCAGAGAAACACUGUUCCUGAAAGCUUCUGUCACUCAAGAAUCCAUGAAACAUUCAUGAACUUCACAUCAGCCAAGCCCAGAAAAUAUGGGUUUAAGGUUUGCCUAUAUGUCCAAUACAAGAGAAAAAAGAACAUUCCACUUCUUUAGAAGGUUCUACUUUGAUCUCCUGAUUCCAGUUGUGAAAAAAAAUUGUGCCUAAAGAAUAUAGUCCCUUUAUAGAAUUGUUUUGAAACCUACCACAGGUAUUUCUACACAGAUUUUAAUGCAACUUGUUACACAAGAUGAACCCAAACAUAUUUGACUUUUUAUUUUCAGAAAAGCUUAAUACAUAGUUUUGAAUAUGGAUUGUCCCACAGGAUAAAUGCAUGAAAAAAGUUGGAAAAGAGAAAUUGAAUUACAUCCUAAUUGUAGUGUUUUCUCAGGCAGAUCAAUUUUAGAAAGAGAACAUUGACUUGGAAAACUGAAGAGUAAUUAUUCUAAAACGGUUGUAACAGUUUACUCCUUUUAUGUUUGCAAACUUCCAGGAUUAGUGAGUUGCAUAAAGUCACAUAAUUUAUUGCGUUGGUGCAAAAGUAAUUGUGGUUUUUGCCAUUAACAAAACCGCAAUUACUUUUGCAUCAGCCUAAUAUAAGUGAAUAAAUUAAUAUUAGAACA
rnacentral:lncRNA from 1 species